GACGAACGCUGGUGGCGUGCUUAACACAUGCAAGUCGAGCGGUAAGGCCCUUUCGGGGGUACACGAGCGGCGAACGGGUGAGUAACACGUGGGUGACCUGCCCUUAGCUCUGGGAUAAGCCUGGGAAACUGGGUCUAAUACCGGAUAUGACUCCAUGACGCAUGUUGUGGGGUGGAAAGCCUUGUGCGGCUGGGGAGUGGGCCCGGCGGCCUAUCAGCUUGUUGGUGGGGUGGAUGGCCGUACCAAGGCGGA
rnacentral:rRNA from 1 species